rnacentral:rRNA from 1 species
ACGUAAGAAUCUGCCCUUCAGUGAAGAAUACCCUCGAGAAAUCGAGGUUAAUACUGCAUACACCCUACGGGGAAAAGGUGGCUUUAUGCUGCCGCUGAAGGAUGAGCUUGCGCGCUAUUAGCUUGUUGGUGGGGUAACGGCCUACCAAGGCGAUGAUGGCUAGCCGGCCUGAGAGGGUGUACGGCCACAUUGGGACUGAGAUACGGCCCAGACUCCUACGGGAGGCAGCAGUGAGGAAUAUUGCGCAAUGGGCGAAAGCCUGACGCAGCGACGCCGCGUGGAGGAUGACGGUUUUCGGAUUGUAAACUCCUGUUAAGCGGGAAGAAAGUCCAGCCUCUAAUAUAGGCUGGAAAUGACGGUACCGCUAGAGAAAGCACCGGCUAACUUCGUGCCAGCAGCCGCGGUAAUACGAGGGGUGCUAACGUUAUUCGGAUUAACUGGGCGUAAAGGGUGUGUAGACGGUUGAUUAAGUUUGUUGUUAAAUCUCUCGGCCUAACCGAGAGCUUGCGAUAAAAACUAAUCGACUUGAGGGUGAAAGAGAGAAGUGGAAUUCUCGGAGUAGCGGUAAAAUGCGUAGAUCUCGAGAGGAACACCAAUGGCGAAGGCAGCUUCUUGGUUCACUUCUGACGUUGAGACACGAAAGCGUGGGUAGCAAACAGGAUUAGAUACCCUGGUAGUCCACGCCGUAAACAAUGAUCACUG